CGGACAAGGAGAGAAUCAGAGUUUGUCACAUAUGCAAGGAAAGCCACCAUCAACCCUCCCACCCACUCCACAGUGACACACACCGCCGGUUUCUCGUGGAUUUUUGCGUGUAUAAAGCUGCUGUCGCAGACCUGGAGGGGCAGCGCAGUUUGGGUCCUAAAUCAACAACAAUCAGGCCAGGCUGGGCGGGAGCCGGGCGAUAGCAGCGCUCAGCGCCUCCAGGGGCUGCGGCGAGCGCUUGGAAUUUUCCACCGGUGGGCAGAACCGCAGAGCCGCGUCCCAUUGGCAGAGCGCGGUGGCGUCGCCGCGCGCGAGCGUGUGCAGAGUUUUUUUCUAGGGGGAGCACAUGUGAAGUCUGGAGGCGGACAUCGGGAACCGUCCUUAUUCACUGUUACUCCUCCACUUUGUAUGAGGACGCAGGGUCUCUCAACCAAACCCAGGACUCCUGCUAUCCAGCUUACCCUGGGGAGCCCCUGCCUCCACCUGCCUGGGCUGGAAUUCCAGCUUCUUAGACGGGAGUAAGUAUGGACAGAAGCCGGGGAACUGAGUCCAUGAAGCAGAAGCACUAGGCUGUGGUGGAAGAGGAGUAUGGAGGCCACAGAGCAUCUUCGAGGGGACACCAACUGUAGGAUCUGACUGUCACUUGAAGGUAGCCACGGCUGCUCUGGGUGAGAUGGAAAUGGCUGAUGUUCUCCAAGGCCAGCAUUUCCUAACACCUGAAGACUUUAUACUUACAUUCGGCAUUUUAAUAGAAAAGUGACAUUUGCUCCCUA